UACGUAGGCAGCGAGCGUUGUUCGGAAUUACUGGGCGUAAAGAGUGUGUAGGCGGUGCUCCCAGUCUGUUGUGAAAGCCCCCGGCUCAACUGGGGAGGGUCAUCGGUAACGGUCGUGCUAUGAGUGCAGGAGAGGGAAGUGGAACUCCGGGAGUAGCGGUGAAAUGCGUAGAGACCCGGAGGAACACCAGUGGCGAAGGCGGCUUCCUGGUCUGCGACUGACGCUGUGGCGCGAAAGCUAGGGGAGCAAACGGG
rnacentral:rRNA from 1 species